rnacentral:rRNA from 1 species
CCUACGGGCGAGCAGCAGUGAGGAAUAUUGGUCAAUGGGCGCGAGCCUGAACCAGCCAAGUAGCGUGAAGGAUGACUGCCCUACGGGUUGUAAACUUCUUUUAUAAAGGAAUAAAGUGAGGCACGUGUGCCUAGUUGUAUGUACUUUAUGAAUACGGAACGGCUAACUCCGUGCCAGCAGCCGCGGUAAGAAGGAGGAUCCGUGCGUUAUCCGGAUUUAUAGGGUUUAAUGGGAGCGUAGAUGGGUUGUUAAGUCAGUGGUGAAAGUUUGCGGCUCAACCGUAAAAUGGCAAUUGAUACUGGCAGCCUUGAGUACAGUUGAGGUAGGCGGAAUUCGUGGUGUAGCGGUGAAAUGCUUAGAUAUCACGAAGAACACCGAUUGCGAAGGCAGCUUACUAAACUGCCACUGACAUUGAUGCUCGAAAGUGUGGGUAUCAAACAGGAUUAGAUACCCCUGUAGUC